rnacentral:misc_RNA from 1 species
UCGGUGGAGAAGUCGGAUGG